CAUAACUUCCCCGUCCGAGCUCCAAUCGCUACACCGUUUGCGGCCACGCGUUCACCGCAUCGAGCUCUACAUUUCUAUCGGAACAAUUUCACUGGAUCCAAUUAGCUUGAGGAAAACGUUUACUCUUGCUUAUGUGAAGCUUGGGUAAGGUUGUGAAUAAAUAAUUGUAGCUUGAAAUUGUGAAUACUGGAACUUGGAGGAAGCAGAUUAGUUGAGGGUUUGAGGGCUGUGUUCUUUUAGGAAAAUUGUCUUGGAAUAAUACUUGGGAAUCGGCUAAGAUGCAGGUCGAGAGGCAUCUCGUUAGGCGUCUGGACUCUUGAAGCGGAGUGGUUACUGGGUUAUUUUGUUAUGUUAUGAUGUAUAUAUAUGUACUUAGCUUUCUCUCCACAUAACUUAUUCUUUUUGAUCCUCCUAGAGGUGUAUGGAGAGGCAGGAUUUUGUUUAUGUACAUUUGGGUUUUGGAUAUGUAUAUAUAUGUAUAUAUGUGUGUAUAUUCU